rnacentral:rRNA from 1 species
CGUGGGUAACCUGCCUUAUAGUGGGGGAUAGCCUUUCGAAAGGAAGAUUAAUACCGCAUAAGAUUGUAGUAUCGCAUGAUAUAGCAAUUAAAGGAGCAAUCCGCUAUAAGAUGGACCCGCGUCGCAUUAGCUAGUUGGUGAGGUGAUGGCUCACCAAGGCGACGAUGCGUAGCCGACCUGAGAGGGUGAUCGGCCACAUUGGGACUGAGACACGGUCCAGACUCCUACGGGAGGCAGCAUG